UACAGAGGUCUCAAGCGUUUGUUCGGAUUCAUUGGGCGUAAAGGGUGCGUAGGCGGCGCGGUAAGUCGGGUGUGAAAUCUCGGAGCUUAACUCCGAAACUGCAUUCGAUACUGCCGUGCUUGAGGACUGGAGAGGAGACUGGAAUUUACGGUGUAGCGGUGAAAUGCGUAGAUAUCGUAAGGAAGACCAGUGGCGAAGGCGGGUCUCUGGACAGUUCCUGACGCUGAGGCACGAAGGCCAGGGGGAGCAAACGGG
rnacentral:rRNA from 1 species